GAGGGGAUGGGGCGGGUCACACGUGCCAACACCUAGCCACCAGCAGUGCCUCGGACACAAGGAGGGAAACCAUGACUGCAGGCACAUUAUCAAGAGCCUCUCCAUGUCCGCACAAGAUGUAAACGGUCUCGCCGUCUUCACGUUACUUGGUCAAGUGGAGCUCAUUGACGGGACCUGUACCAGGAGAGGCCUAGUCAUCGACUUCCAUGGCUUCUGUGGAGAGGUGAGGAGCUUGAGGCACCAGCUGAACAAACAGACGAUCUCUUCUCCACAUGAGGAACUAAAGCAGUGGAGAGAAUGAA